rnacentral:rRNA from 1 species
GAUGAACGCUGGCGGCGUGCCUAAUACAUGCAGGUCGAGCGAACAGACGAGGAGCUUGCUCCUUCGACGUUAGCGGCGGACGGGUGAGUAACACGUAGGUAACCUACCUAUAAGACUGGGAUAACUUCGGGAAACCGGAGCUAAUACCGGAUAAUAUUUCGAACCGCAUGGUUCGAUAGUGAAAGAUGGCUUUGCUAUCACUUAUAGAUGGACCUGCGCCGUAUUAGCUAGUUGGUAAGGUAACGGCUUACCAAGGCAACGAUACGUAGCCGACCUGAGAGGGUGAUCGGCCACACUGGAACUGAGACACGGUCCAGACUCCUACGGGAGGCAGCAGUAGGGAAUCUUCCGCAAUGGGCGAAAGCCUGACGGAGCAACGCCGCGUGAGUGAUGAAGGUCUUCGGAUCGUAAAACUCUGUUAUUAGGGAAGAACAAACGUGUAAGUAACUGUGCACGUCUUGACGGUACCUAAUCAGAAAGCCACGGCUAACUACGUG